CUCCUUAGAAACAUAAUAUAAAAACGGGUUACAUAGAGAAAUAGAGAGAAAGGGUACGUAGAGUCUGAAGGAGAAAGAAAAGAGAACAAAAAUUCACUUUGCUGAGACAAGUAUAGAGGUAGGAGAGCAAAGACCGCCGCUUGAGGAGUUUAACGACGGUUAUUACGAAGAUGACAACCCCAAUCUGCCUCACCGAGAUGGUUUUCUUUCCGGGGAUACGAUAUAACCUACCUGAUGACGAGUUGAUUUAGUGGAGAGUGACCGGUCUAAGGAGCAUCCUGGAGUUAGAUGCUA